UGGUGUUCUCUUUGGAAUUUUAGGGAGCGAGCUCAUAGAUCUUUGGAUACGUCUCCAGAGACAUGAUGAUUCCAGCGUCAGAAUAAUCUGCUCCAUAACGUGACCACAUUUAGGAGACCAGCUCCUGGGAGGAGACCCAAGGAGACAUCUUGAAAUUUCUGAGCAGAGAGGCUUUUGACACAGAGUUGGUGUACGCCGGAUGGCAUCCAGUUGGUAGCCUGCAUUGCUGGUGCAGCAGGAGGAAGCAAGCCUCUGACAAGAGCUAGAUAUGUCACCCUGCAGGACUGCACGGACAGCUUAAAUGGAGUGUAUGUUUGCACCUAAGCAGACUGUUAAGGUCUGAUGAAAGGAUGCGUUUUUCAUUGCUAUUUGUUGUAUGUAAGAGAAAUUGGCAUCUGCGCAUGUGUCUAACAACUCAGAAGUGUGGUCUAUAUGCAAGCAUAAGUGAAGUGCAAUAUAACAAAUGUAAUGAAAAGCAAGAUGAGAGAUCAGUUGGGUGCACGGCUGGAUGAAGAAGAACACCGGACAGAUGUUUGCAAAGAGGUCUCAACAAGGAGUCCAAGAUCCUUCCUGGAGUGAUUAUUUAUAAUUUAUCACAGUGUUUGUGCAAUUAGGGUGUUUUUUCCCCCCACGUGUAUUCCUGUGCGUCUAUCGAUAAUAAAUGAUGCGUGGUU
rnacentral:lncRNA from 7 species